rnacentral:lncRNA from 1 species
GGAAGCCGAUUCGUGGCCAAUCAAGCCAACAUUCGAUCCGUACGGGUCGAGUACCCCCAUGAGCUCUUCACUUACAAAUCGAGAAGGGAGGUUGAGAGGAGAGAGAGCAAAGUCAUCCUCAGAGAAUGGCUCGAGGUAGAGAUUGGCGACUUCGGCCUCAUACAUCUUCUCCUGCUCCGAGAAGAUGUUGAUCAUGCUAUGCGGAAUCUCGAUCCCGCUAUCUUUUAUCAUCUCAAGGCAUUUUUUUCGUUCCUGAAGCCUGCCCGUAAAGAUUCUUGGCCUUCUCUAGCGCGUUAAGGCGAUCCAGAUAGCCCUUCAUCUUACCUACACAGCGAGUAGAC